AGAGUUUGAUCAUGGCUCAGAUUGAACGCUGGCGGCAGGCCUAACACAUGCAAGUCGAGCGGUAGCACAGAGAGCUUGCUCUCGGGUGACGAGCGGCGGACGGGUGAGUAAUGUCUGGGAAACUGCCUGAUGGAGGAGGAUAACUACUGGAAACGGUAGCUAAUACCGCAUAACGUCGCAAGACCAAAGUGGGGGACCUUCGGGCCUCAUGCCAUCAGAUGUGCCCAGAUGGGAUUAGCUAGUAGGUGGGGUAACGGCUCACCUAGGCGACGAUCCCUAGCUGGUCUGAGAGGAUGACCAGCCACACUGGAACUGAGACACGGUCCAGACUCCUACGGGAGGCAGCAGUGGGGAAUAUUGCACAAUGGGCGCAAGCCUGAUGCAGCCAUGCCGCGUGUAUGAAGAAGGCCUUCGGGUUGUAAAGUACUUUCAGCGGGGAGGAAGGCGAUAAGGUUAAUAACCUUGUCGAUUGACGUUACCCGCAGAAGAAGCACCGGCUAACUCCGUGCCAGCAGCCGCGGUAAUA
rnacentral:rRNA from 1 species